GUUCAUUCUACCAAUAUUGGUUCUGAACGUUAAUAAUUUGGGUGCUUUUAGAAACUUUUUCAGUGAACAAUCUUAUCCUGGAAAAAAAAUCCCAGCUUUGAUGUAAAUUAUAAAAAUGUAUACUUGUGAACCAUAUCUUGGAAUACACACAGAUGAGAGAGUUCUGCUGAUAACAAACAUGCCUAAUUGGAGAUAGGAAGAACAUCAAUCAUGCUCUAGCUAUAGUUUCUCUUCCUUUGAGCAGCCCUUAGUUUCUUUUUCUUAUAAGUGUUUUUCUUUUCCUUGCUUUCCUGAGAAGCUUAGACUAGUCUUUGGAAGACAAAAAAGUGCUUUUUUUCCUUCCGUCUGCAGCAUUACUCCUUGAAAUUAUCUGUCACUCUUUGCAUCAUGGAGACUUGCUGAGGGCCUGGUUUCCUAAUUUGACUAUUUUAGGUAGAGUUAUGUAGCCUCCUAAGUUCUGUCCAUGGUGGGAAACUACAGUUGCGUUUCACAGCUUUGAUUGCUACUGUACUAGAUAACUGAGAAGAGUCUGAGGAGAAAUACUGAACUCCUUGGG
rnacentral:lncRNA from 1 species